UACGAAGGUGGCAAGCGUUGUUCGGAUUUACUGGGCGUACAGGGAGCGUAGGCGGUUGGGUAAGCCCUCCGUGAAAUCUCCGGGCCUAACCCGGAAAGUGCGGAGGGGACUGCUCGGCUAGAGGAUGGGAGAGGAGCGCGGAAUCCCCGGUGUAGCGGUGAAAUGCGUAGAGAUCGGGAGGAAGGCCGGUGGCGAAGGCGGCGCUCUGGAACAUUUCUGACGCUGAGGCUCGAAAGCGUGGGGAGCAAACAGG
rnacentral:rRNA from 1 species